UCUCUAUCAUCUCUCCCUCUCUCUCUUCCCUUCAUCUCUCUAUCAUCUCUACCUCUCUCUCUUCACUUCAUCUCUCUAUCAUCUCUCCCUGUCUCUCUCUUCCCUUCAUCUCUCUAUCAUCUCUCCCUGUCUCUCUCUUCCCUUCAUCUCUCUAUCCAUCUCUCCCUCUCUCUCUUCCCUUCAUCUCUCUAUCCAUCUCUCUCUCUCUUCACUUCAUCUCUCUAUCCAUCUCUACCUCUCUCUUUUCACUUCAUCUCUCUAUCCAUCUCUCCCUGUCUCUCUCUCUCUUCCCUUCAUCUCUCUAUCCAUCUCUCCCUCUCUCUCUUUCCUUCAUCUCUCUAUCAUCUCUCCCUGUCUCUCUUCACUUCAUCUCUCUAUCCAUCUCUCCCUGUCUCUCUCUUCCCUUCAUCUCUCUUCCCUUCAUCUCUCCCUCUCUCUCUUCCCUUCAUCUCUCUAUCCAUCUCUACCUCUCUCUCUUCACUUCAUUUCUCUAUCAUCUCUACCUGUCUCUCUCUCUCUUCACCAUCUCUCUAUCAUCUCUCCCUCUCUCUCUCUUUACUUCAUCUCUCUAUCAUCUCUCCCUGUCUCUCUCUUCCCUUCAUCUCUAUAUCAUCUCUCCCUGUCUCUCUCUUCACUUCUUCCCUUCAUCUCUCUAUCAUCUCUCCCUGUCUCUCUCUUCACUUCUUCCCUUCAUCUCUCUAUCCAUCUCUACCUCUCUCUCUCUUCCCUUCAUCUCUCCCUGUCUCUCUCUUCCCUUCAUCUCUCUAUCAUCUCUCUCUCUCUCUUCACUUCAUCUCUCUAUCAUCUCUCCUGUCUCUCUCUUCACCCUUACUUAAGUCUUUUUCAUCUCUUCCUACGAUGCUCUCUCUUUUUCCACCUCUCGCUCUCUCCCUCCCUCCCUCUCUCUCUCUCUCUCUCUCCCUCCUUCCCUCCCUCUCUCUCUCUCUUUAAAGUCAGACAGUGCAGCGGAGGUCUUUUAUCUGUCUCCAAAGCCGCCUUUCUCCUGCCAGACUGCCCUUAUGAGGGGGGCACACACACACACACACACACACACACACACACACACACACACAAAACUCAUUGUCACACUCUCAACACACUCACACUUACAUACACAUUUACACAACACACACACACUCGCAAUACACUCAUACAGACACUCAAACACACACACACACACACACACACACACUUACAUGCACACCCUCACACAACUCUCAGACACAUUCUCAAACACACUCACACAACUCACAUACUCACACGAUACACACGAUACACACGAUACACACACACACACACACGCACACACACACACUGCCUCUCCUGCCAGGUUGGCCAUAUGAGGAGCAUUAGCCCCCUCCCCCACCACACCCAGCCAACCAUACUGACAUCAAACAGCCCUCUCCAGCUCUCUCUCUCACACACACACACACACACACACACACACAAGCUCUCUCUCUCUCUCCUUUUCUGUCUCUCUAUCCCGUGCACGCAAACACACAUACAUGUACUCACUGUGUCUCUGUCACACACAAUGAAACAAAUAUACACACAUACAUUCACACAUACCUACACACACACAUACACAUACACACACACACACACACACACAGAUACCCACUAACACCCACACGCACAUAUGUAAACACUCAAACAUACAAACACACACACACACACGGCAGAUAAGUGUGUGUGGACUAGAUCAGCAGAAGUGAUCCCUACAGAUGGUCCUUAAGCAGCAGGU
ensembl:lncRNA